rnacentral:lncRNA from 1 species
CGAUACAAGUUUGAAAAUUUUGUAGAUGAAGUUUAGAUAUAUGAUGAUCACGAACUUAUAGUAAAUAAUUAUGAAUUUUGAGAUAUGAAUUUAUAUUUGAUUUUGAAUUUAGAUGCUCUGAACCAAUAUUGGUUUAAUUAUUUGAUGAAUAAUGGAAUUGAAUCUUUUUAUUUGAUGGAUUUUAGAUGAUUAUGAUGGAUUGACUUCAUAU